AAAGCAUUCUCUGGUGUUGAAGGCCCUGCAAAGCAGCAUCGCGGUGGCGGAGCGUCGUUUGCGACGCCCAACACACAAAACAAGCGGUGAGUGCUUUGGGGUGGGGUGACUGCGUACCUUUUGUAUAAUGGGUCAGCGACUUAUAUUCUGUAGCAAGGUUAACCGAAUAGGGGAGCCGCAGGGAAACCGAGUCUUAAUUGGGCGUUAAGUUGCAGGGUAUAGACCCGAAACCCGGUGAUCUAGCCAUGGGCAGGUUGAAGGUUGGGUAACACUAACUGGAGGACCGAACCGACUAAUGUUGAAAAAUUAGCGGAUGACCUGUGGCUGGGGGUGAAAGGCCAAUCAAACCGGGAGAUAGCUGGUUCUCCCCGAAAGCUAUUUAGGUAGCGCCUCGUGAAUUCAUCUCCGGGGGUAGAGCACUGUUUCGGCUAGGGGGCCAUCCCGGCUUACCAACCCGAUGCAAACUGCGAAUACCGGAGAAUGUUAUCACGGGAGACACACGGCGGGUGCUAACGUCCGUCGUGAAGAGGGAAACAACCCAGACCGCCAGCUAAGGUCCCAAAGUCAUGGUUAAGUGGGAAACGAUGUGGGAAGGCCCAGACAGCCAGGAUGUUGGCUUAGAAGCAGCCAUCAUUUAAAGAAAGCGUAAUAGCUCACUGGUCGAGUCGGCCUGCGCGGAAGAUGUAACGGGGCUAAACCAUGCACCGAAGCUGCGGCAGCGAACGUAUCACUUAAAGCGAUUCAGCGGGUUACGAUUGACGGAGCGAAGCGACGUCAAAGCGUAUACAAAGUCGAGUCGGUUUAAGGAUACGUUCGUUGGGUAGGGGAGCGUUCUGUAAGCCUGUGAAGGUGGCCUGUGAGGG
rnacentral:rRNA from 1 species